rnacentral:rRNA from 1 species
GGGAGGUAGUGACAAUAAAUAACAAUACGGGGUUCUUCGAAUCUCGUAAUUGGAAUGAGUACAAUUUAAAUCUCUUAACGAGGAACAAUUGGAGGGCAAGUCUGGUGCCAGCAGCCGCGGUAAUUCCAGCUCCAAUAGCGUAUAUUAAAGUUGUUGCAGUUAAAAAGCUCGUAGUUGAAUUUCGGGGUUAGUAGGUUGGUCGUACCACUGGUAUGUACCGGCUUUACUGAUUCCUCCUUCUUGAAGAACUGUAAUGCCAUUUAUUUGGUGCUGCAGGGAAUCAGGACUUGUUACUUUGAAAAAUUAGAGUGUUUAAAGCAGGCUAGCGCCUGAAUACAUUAGCAUGGAAUAAUGAAAUAGGACGUUCGAACCUAUUUUGUUGGUUUCUAGGAUUGACGUAAUGAUUAAUAGGGAUAGUUGGG